GCCUGGGAUGGUGCACACACGUAAAUGAAGAUCUGAGCAUGGCCCUGCACACACCGUCCACUCACUUGAGCUGCUGACGGAUGCAGGUGUGCACAGCUGCCUGUCUCAGACCCAGCCUGUCUGGGGCCGGUGCACGCCUGACCCAGCGGCUGCCAAAUCCCAGACCCGAGGCAGCAUUUGGAUCAUUCCUCAGCACCCAUCACACAGCUCUGCCAACUGUGCCAGCUCCCUGGGUGGCAGGGCCUUUAGCUCUUUCCAUAUCUGCUCCAUCUCUCCAUCCUGAGCUCUGCAGGGGUGGAGGCAGAAAUGAACAUAGGCAUUAAAAACAUUUUUAAAUGAGGCCUUAGUUUUUUUGUUUGUUUGUUUUUUGGUUUUUUUUUUUUACCAUGGUAGAAUAUACAUAACAUAGAAUUUACCAUUUUGGUCAUUUAAAACUGUGUAAUUUAAUGUCAUUAAGGACAUUCACGUUGUUGUGCGCCUACCACCACCAUCCAGCUCCAGCACUUCUUCUUCCUUCCAAACCGAAACGCUGUGCCCACUAAACGCUAACUCCCACUCCUUCUCCUCCGGCCCCUGGCAUCUACUCUUUUACUUCCUGCCUCUGAAUUUGACCAAGGUGUCUCAUGACAGGACAGGCCCUGAGGAUGCCAUUGAAGAAGGCCAGCCCCAGCUUCUGCCAGGUGGGUCCCCUGGGAGACCCUUGUGGUGGGAAGGGAUGGAGGGGAGGUCAAGGAAGCCUUCUGGUGCAGGGAGUGGGCUGGGUAGGACGGCUGAGCCAGUCAGGAAGAAGUAGAAUGAGUGAGUGGGGGGCUGCUGUGUGGCCCUCAAACUUCCACUGCUCCAUAGAAGAAACAGCAGCAUCUGUUGCAGCACUGGAGGAAAACUGGCUGGGCCAGACUGAUUGAGAGGCGGCCCAGCCUUGUUGUUUAUGGACCACCUCAAGAAUCUUCAGAGGCAACAUUUCUGCCAUAAACAGACUGCAGAACAUCCCGCUCCCACCCUCACGUCCAGUAAGAUGCUCCUCAGCUUUCUACUUAUUAUUUAUUUAUUUUGAGACUGAGUCUCACUCUGUUGCCCAGGCUGGAGUACAAUGGUGCAACCUUGGCUCACUGCAACCUCUGCUUCCCGGGUUCAAAUAAUUCUCGUGCCUUAGCCUUUUGAGUAGCUGGGAUUACAGGCAUGUGACACCACACCUGGCUAAUUUUUGUAUUUUUAGUAGAGACAGAGUUUCACCAUUUUGCCCAGGCUGGUCUGGAACUCCUGACUUUAGAUGAUCCACCCUCCUUGGCCUCCCAAAAUGGUGGGAUUACAGGUCUGAGCCACCAUGCCCAGCCUCUUAUUAUUUUUGAUAUUGAUGUUGAUUAUUUGCCAAGGCCUGUUGAUGGUGCCUGUUCUGUAGACUGAGGAGUGCACUGGCUGGAGUUGAGAGCACAGGAGUUGAGGGCAGCAGGUUGGAGAAGAUCUGGGCCAGCCCAGUGUAUUCCUGGACUGCCCUGAGUGCUGCGCCCUGAGUCCAGCUGAUAUGCUUAAUGUGGAAUCUGCCUCCUUGGGAGCAGGGUCGUCCCUGGUCCUGGAUGGACAUGCCCAGUGAUGCGUAUGAGCAGGGGGUGCCAGGAUAAGCAAGGAGCAGGAGACCUCGGUCCCAGCGCCACCACCUACUGUUCUUGUGAUUGUUGGCAGGUCUCUGGCCACCCAUGGACCCCAGUUUCCUCUAAAAUGAAAGAGUCAGACUCAGUUCUCAAAGGCAUUCUGGCUCUCAACUCUAAGAUGCACAAGGUGGGUUUCUACUCUGUACGGCGUGUGUGUGUGUGAACUGGGGGAACAGGCCCAGGGCAGGUGAGGGGUUGGCCUGAGCCCCUGCCCGGGGUAUAGACCUGGACAUUCCAUGUGCUCUGCACCCACAGU
rnacentral:lncRNA from 13 species